AUUGAACGCUGGCGGCAUGCUUUACACAUGCAAGACGAACGGCAGCACGGGCUUCGGCCUGGUGGCGAGUGGCGAACGGGUGAGUAAUAUAUCGGAACGUACCCAGAAGUGGGGGAUAACGUAGCGAAAGUUACGCUAAUACCGCAUACGAUCUAUGGAUGAAAGCAGGGGACCGCAAGGCCUUGUGCUCCUGGAGCGGCCGAUAUCUGAUUAGCUAGUUGGUGAGGUAAAGGCUCACCAAGGCGACGAUCAGUAGCUGGUCUGAGAGGACGACCAGCCACACUGGAACUGAGACACGGUCCAGACUCCUACGGGAGGCAGCAGUGGGGAAUUUUGGACAAUGGGCGCAAGCCUGAUCCAGCAAUGCCGCGUGAGUGAAGAAGGCCUUCGGGUUGUAAAGCUCUUUUGUCAGGGAAGAAACGGUAGAGGCUAAUAUCCUUUGCUAAUGACGGUACCUGAAGAAUAAGCACCGGCUAACUACGUG
rnacentral:rRNA from 1 species